rnacentral:rRNA from 1 species
CACGUAGGGCGCGAGCGUUGUCCGGAAUUAUUGGGCGUAAAGAGCUCGUAGGCGGCCUGUUGCGUCCGCUGUGAAAGCCCGGGGCUUAACCCCGGGUCGGCAGUGGAUACGGGCAGGCUAGAGGUAGGUAGGGGAGAAUGGAAUUCCCGGUGUAGCGGUGGAAUGCGCAGAUAUCGGGAGGAACACCGGUGGCGAAGGCGGUUCUCUGGGCCUUACCUGACGCUGAGGAGCGAAAGCGUGGGGAGCGAACAGG